rnacentral:rRNA from 1 species
GUCCACGCCGUAAACGAUGUCUACUUGGAGGUUGUGGCCUUGAGCCGUGGCUUUCGGAGCUAACGCGUUAAGUAGACCGCCUGGGGAGUACGGUCGCAAGAUUAAAACUCAAAUGAAUUGACGGGGGCCCGCACAAGCGGUGGAGCAUGUGGUUUAAUUCGAUGCAACGCGAAGAACCUUACCUACUCUUGACAUCCAGAGAAGCUUGAAGAGAUUCGAGUGUGCCUUCGGGAACUCUGAGACAGGUGCUGCAUGGCU